rnacentral:snRNA from 1 species
AUCGCUUCUCGGCCUUUUGGCUAAGAUCAAGUGUAGUAUCUGUUCUUAUCAGUUUAAAUAAGUAUCUACAUCUAUAUAUCUCUGUAUUUAUGUGAUUAAAUCUAUAUGUGUGUAUUAACAUUU